CAGUAGCCACGGUAAAACGGAGGGUGCGAGCGUUGUCCGGAUUUAUUGGGUUUAAAGGGUGCGUAGGUGGCUUUUUAAGUCAGUGGUGAAAUACGGUUGCUCAACAAUCGAGGUGCAAUUGAUACUGAAGAGCUUGAAAUAAUUGGAGGCUGCCGGAAUGGAUGGUGUAGCGGUGAAAUGCAUAGAUAUCAUCCAGAACACCGAUUGCGAAGGCAGGUGGCUACGAUUUGUUUGACACUGAGGCACGAAAGCAUGGGGAGCAAACAGGAUUAGAUACCCGCGUAGUCCCUGUCUCUUAUAA
rnacentral:rRNA from 1 species